rnacentral:rRNA from 1 species
AGAGUUUGAUCAUGGCUCAGAUUGAACGCUGGCGGCAGGCCUAACACAUGCAAGUCGAACGGUAGCACAGAGAGCUUGCUCUCGGGUGACGAGCGGCGGACGGGUGAGUAAUGUAUGGGGAUCUGCCCGAUAGAGGGGGAUAACUACUGGAAACGGUAGCUAAUACCGCAUAAUCUCUAAGGAGCAAGGCAGGGGAACUUCGGUCCUUGCGCUAUCGGAUGAACCCAUAUGGGAUUAGCUAGUUGGUGAGGUAAAGGCUCACCAAGGCGAUGAUACAUAGCCGACCUGAGAGGGUGAUCGGCCACAUUGGGACUGAGACACGGCCCAAACUCCUACGGGAGGCAGCAGUAGGGAAUCUUCGGCAAUGGACGAAAGUCUGACCGAGCAACGCCGCGUGUAUGAAGAAGGCCUUAGGGUUGUAAAGUACUUUCAGUUGGGAGGAAGGCGUUGAUGCUAAUAUCAUCAGCGAUUGACGUUACUCGCAGAAGAAGCACCGGCUAACUCCGUGCCAGCAGCCGCGGUAAUAC